UACGGAGGAUGCAAGCGUUAUCCGGAAUGAUUGGGCGUAAAGCGUCCGCAGGUGGCUGUGUAAGUCUGCUGUUAAAGAGUGAGGCUCAACCUCAUAAAGGCAGUGGAAACUACAUGGCUAGAGUGCGUUCGGGGCAGAGGGAAUUCCUGGUGUAGCGGUGAAAUGCGUAGAGAUCAGGAAGAACACCCGUGGCGAAGGCGGCUCUCUGGGACGGUACUGACGCUGAGACGCGAAAGCGUGGGGAGCGAACAGG
rnacentral:rRNA from 1 species